rnacentral:rRNA from 1 species
GGGGUAAUGGCCUACCAAGGCGAUGACGGGUAGCCGGUCUGAGAGGACGACCGGUCACACUGGGACUGAGAUACUGCCCAGACUCCUACGGGAGGCUGCAGUCGAGAAUCUUCCGCAAUGGGCGAAAGCCUGACGGAGCGACACCGCGUGCAGGAUGAAGGCCUUCGGGUUGUAAACUGCUGUCACGCUAUAGGAACCGUGUACAGGUAACUGUGCAUCUGACCAAAGCGAGAGGAAGCACCGGCUAACUCCGUGCCAGCAGCCGCGGUAAGACGGAGGGUGCAAACGUUGUUCGGAAUCACUGGGCAUAAAGCGCACGUAGGCGGUCCACUAAGUUUGACGUGAAAGCCCUCGGCUCAACCGGGGAACUGCGUCGGAUACUGGUGGACUUGAGGUCGGUUGGGGUGAGUGGAACUCCUGGUGGAGCGGUGAAAUGCGUAGAUAUCAGGAGGAACACCAGUGGCGAAAGCGGCUCACUGGACCGAUCCUGACGCUGAGGUGCGAAAGCUAGGGUAGCGAACGGGAUUAGAUACCCCGGUAGUCCUAGCCGUAAACGAUGGGCACUAGGUAGAGGGGAAGCCUAUUUUCUUCUCUGCCGUA